UACGUAGGUGGCAAGCGUUGUCCGGAUUUACUGGGCGUACAGGGAGCGUAGGCGGUUCGGUAAGCCCUCCGUGAAAUCUCCAGGCUCAACCUGGAAAGUGCAGAGGGGACUGCCGGGCUAGAGGAUGGGAGAGGAGCGCGGAAUUCCCGGUGUAGCGGUGAAAUGCGUAGAGAUCGGGAGGAAGGCCGGUGGCGAAGGCGGCGCUCUGGAACAUUUCUGACGCUGAGGCUCGAAAGCGUGGGGAGCAAACAGG
rnacentral:rRNA from 1 species